AGCGAACGCUGGCGGCAGGCCUAACACAUGCAAGUCGAACGAACCCUUCGGGGUUAGUGGCGGACGGGUGAGUAACACGUGGGAACGUGCCUUUAGGUUCGGAAUAACUCAGGGAAACUUGUGCUAAUACCGAAUGUGCCCUUCGGGGGAAAGAUUUAUCGCCUUUGGAGCGGCCCGCGUCUGAUUAGCUAGUUGGUGAGGUAAUGGCUCACCAAGGCUGCGAUCAGUAGCUGGUCUGAGAGGAUGACCAGCCACAUUGGGACUGGGACACGGCCCAAACUCCUACGGGAGGCAGCAGUGGGGAAUCUUGCGCAAUGGGCGAAAGCCUGAUGCAGCCAUGCCGCGUGGACGAUGAAGGUCUUAGGAUUGUAAAAUCCUUUCACCGGUGAAGAUAAUGACUGUAGCCGGAGAAGAAGCCCCGGCUAACUUCGUGCCAGCCGCCGCAGUAACAC
rnacentral:rRNA from 1 species